UACUCUCUGCCGUCUCUCCAAAGCCCAAUCUAUCACGAAAGCCAUCGUUUUCAACAGAAACAUCUGGUAAAUCGCGAUGGAAACUUCACGGUAUAACAGAUACUUCUAUCCUCUCGACUCAUCGAUUGCUUUUCAAAUUUUAAUUGUAUAUUAAACUUUACGGAAUAAAAAUAGAAGCUCGGUUGAAACAUUGAUUCAAGGUAUUUCUGACCGAUUCUGUUAACUUUCCUGGAAUUGGAGGCCUGGAUAAAUUUCAAUUUAUAGCCGGAUGCUGCAGAGUUUUAUUAUUAAAACAAUAAAUGUACCUUGAAAUUUAUGGAAAUUAAAAUGCUUCAAAUGCAAAGAGAGAUUAUACAAAUGGAAAUCGAGUGGCUUACUUGGCUUGUUUUCCACGCUGCGAACCGUGACCCAUCACCCUCAUCUCUUUCGACACAUUCCCGUUCGCUGGUAAACCUUUCCUCAACCCGGAAGAGGGUAUGUUACCCUUGUACGUGUCCCCGGGGAUGAUCAGUAACCGCCGAGGCAGUCCAGGGUCUCCUUCGUGAUGUGGACUCGUCUACAGGGAGCAGUGGUAAUAAGCACUGAUUUAAUAGGACUUUUGAUCAUCCAUUGGACUUUAUAGGAGACUUGGAUCAAUUGUGAUUCCUUCAGAAGAAUUGGAAUACCUCAAUACGGUUAAUUAAAUUCAAUUAUUUGAUGAAUAUUGGUUGUUGCUGUUGGAGGAAAUAAGCAUUGAUUUAAUAGGGGUUUUGAUCAUCCAUUGGACUUUAUAGGAGACUUGGGUCAAUUGUGAUCCCUUCAGAAGAAUUGGAAUAUCUCAACAUUGUUGAUUAAAUUCAGUUAUUUGAUCUAGAGGAAAUAAAAUACCAUAAGAGAAAUGUGAAUUUUCAGAAAUAUUCCACCAUCAUGGAUGUUCCUUCUACGGUUACACGAAACUGGAGGAAAAAAAUUCAUGAAGAGAAAAAGAAUUGCUAACGCAAUUUCUAUGUCUUCCCUCGCUUCUGUUUGACGAAAACAAGGAACAAAGGUGGAAAGCGAAUCAACGUUGCAUUCUAUCGCACCAGUGAUCACGCUUCCAUUUCUUUUUUUCAAUAUCCUCGCGGAGUCUCAUCUCUCGCCUUGUAUAGGGAAUUGCACGCAAGGGAAAGGCGAAAGGAAACGUCUUAAGAGGCGGAAACGAAGUAAACGGGUCAAAGUAACCCGCAGACUCGAGAGACAACAGUCUAGGUUCUUGUUAUCCACCGUUGAAAAAGAGCGGCGCCUCGUCAAAGGGAUGAUUUCCUCGGAGAAUAAAGGUAGAAGAGAUUGGAUGUAAGAAUUCUAUGAAUUCCAAUGAUUUUUAAAAAUUAAAAGUUCUCUAGUUUCAUCAGAAACUGAUUUGCCGAGGUCACUUUCUUCCCAGCUGCUUUUUAUUGCCCCUGUGAUUCACUGUUACUCACCGCCCUCUUUCCCGGAGACAAAAGUUUGGUCGCGGGGACAGGAAUGCUCAAGGAUUUCACGAAAAGCCGGACGAGCUGAAUUACAAGGAGGGAAAACUCACUCUGACGACCUCCUCGGCGGUGCACUGGUCCGACAGCGAGGUGAAUCCGCAGAUAUCCGCGAACAGGAUGCUGGAAGAAAGAUUUUCAAAUAGGCUCUCCGUCGACGUCGGUUCACCGUAAUUAAGCGACGGGUGUUAAUUGGAAUUCAUUAGUGGCACGUCACCCGACUUAACGAGCUACUAGUGUCAGCCCCGAGUUACGGUCUAACGUAUGAUGGACGCGCGUGUAUCAGCUUGAUGCAUCAGGGAGUCGAAUAUCUUCGAAUUACUCGCUCUCCAAACAAGGACAGUUUUGAAACCCCGCUCACCUGACAUUCUCGUGUCUCUGAAUGUAAAUCUUGUGAAACAUAGUAUCCUUCGGCUUGCCAGCAAUGUCG